UACGUAGGCAGCAAGCGUUGUUCGGAGUUACUGGGCGUAAAGAGUGCGUAGGUGGUGCCCUAAGUCUGUUGUGAAAUCUCCCGGCUUAACUGGGAGGGUGCGGUGGAAACUGGGGUGCUUGAGUGUGGGAGAGGUAAGCGGAAUUCCUGGUGUAGCGGUGAAAUGCGUAGAUAUCUGGAGGAACACCGGUGGCGAAGGCGGCAUCCUGGACCGGCAUUGACGCUGAGGAGCGAAAGCCAGGGGAGCGAACGGG
rnacentral:rRNA from 1 species